rnacentral:lncRNA from 1 species
UGUAGAUGCAGUCUAGCGGGGGGCCGGAGAAGGGCUCAGGUGGGAGGGGCCUCAGCAGGCUCCCAGCUCAGGGGCUGGCCUGGGGGGAACCCUGGGAGCCAGGGGCUGACUCCAGCAACACUGGCCUGUCUGCCUGUUCUGGGAGGGCUGUGAGGAUGUCUUGCAGAUGCUCUGGAUUUCUGCGGAGGCACCUCCAUUCCUUUCUGGCUUUUUUUGCGGGGGAGGGCUUUGGGCCUCUUUCUUUGAGGGAACACCGUCAAAGAAAGCCUGGGAGAUCGAGGCUUCAGUGAGCCAGGAUGGAAACGCGUGUCCCAAGUGUCCGGAGCAGGCGGCAGAGGCCUCAGUGCGGCAAACACAGCCCCAGAGCCUGUGUGGCACCAGCAGCAUCUUAGAGCCCCAGCUUCUGUGGAUGACCUCUGAUGAGCCCGGGCUGCGUCCACGCCCUGGGCAGGUAGGCGGGAGCUUCCCUGCGUGGGCCUCAUUUCUUGCUGCAGAGAAUCUUUUGCACUAAGUCAUGCUGUUUCCUCAAAGAAGCUUUGUUUUUUGUUAACGUAUUACUCAGAGUCACCCAAGCCUCUUGGCUGAGGGUGAAGGUGGGACGGGAGGCGGGAGGGGGCUGGUG